rnacentral:rRNA from 1 species
GAUGAACGCUGGCGGCGUGCCUAAUACAUGCAAGUCGAGCGAACGGACGAGAAGCUUGCUUCUCUGAUGUUAGCGGCGGACGGGUGAGUAACACGUGGAUAACCUACCUAUAAGACUGGGAUAACUUCGGGAAACCGCAGCUAAUACCGGAUAAUAUUUUGAACCGCAUGGUUCAAAAGUGAAAGACGGUCUUGCUGUCACUUAUAGAUGGAUCCGCGCUGCAUUAGCUAGUUGGAAGGUAACGGCUUACCAAGGCAACGAUGCAUAGCCGACCUGAGAGGGUGAUCGGCCACACUGGAACUGAGACACGGUCCAGACUCCUACGGGAGGCAGCAGUAGGGAAUCUUCCGCAAUGGGCGAAAGCCUGACGGAGCAACGCCGCGUGAGUGAUGAAGGUCUUCGGAUCGUAAAACUCUGUUAUUAGGGAAGAACAUAUGUGUAAGUAACUGUGCACAUCUUGACGGUACCUAAUCAGAAAGCCACGGCUAACUACGUG